GGUUGGGAAUCAUUGCUGCAUAACUGGGAAUUUGACAAAAAGUCAGAGACUCACAGAAAUGAACACAGCAAGUCAGCUUCAACACUGA